rnacentral:rRNA from 1 species
AGAGUUUGAUCCUGGCUCAGAACGAACGCUGGCGGCAGGCUUAACACAUGCAAGUCGAACGCGUGUAGCAAUACACGAGUGGCGCACGGGUGAGUAACGCGUGGAUAUCUGCCUUUUGGUUCGGAAUAACUCCGGGAAACUGGAGCUAAUACCGGAUGGUUCCUUCGGGAUAAAGAUUUAUCGCCAAAAGAUGAGUCCGCGUACGAUUAGCUAGUUGGUGAGGUAAUGGCUCACCAAGGCGACGAUCGUUAGCUGGUCUGAGAGGACGAUCAGCCACACUGGGACUGAGACACGGCCCAGACUCCUACGGGAGGCAGCAGUGGGGAGUAUUGGACAAUGGGGGCAACCCUGAUCCAGCCAUGCCGCGUGAGUGAUGAAGGCCUUCGGGUUGUAAAGCUCUUUUGGCGGGGACGAUGAUGACGGUACCCGCAGAAUAAGCCCCGGCUAACUUCGUGCCAGCAGCCGCGGUAAU